rnacentral:rRNA from 1 species
UACGUAGGGGGCUAGCGUUGUCCGGAAUUAUUGGGCGUAAAGCGCGCGUAGGCGGUCCGGCAAGUCCGCUGUGAAAGUCAAAGGCUCAACCUUUGAAUGUCAGCGGAUACUGCCGGGCUAGAGUCCGGAAGAGGAGAGUGGAAUUCCUGGUGUAGCGGUGGAAUGCGCAGAUAUCAGGAGGAACACCAGCGGCGAAGGCAGCUCGCUGGGACGGUACUGACGCUGAGGCGCGAAAGCGUGGGGAGCGAACAGG